rnacentral:rRNA from 1 species
AUGAAUCUCUUUAGCAUGAACUGUCGGGGUUGCGGGCGGCCCGAGACAGUUCAGGAAAUUUGUAGCUUGAUACAGCUGCAUCACCCAUGCUUGGUCUUUCUCUCAGAUACCAAACUGUCCGCUAAGAGAGCACAUGAUAUGAGGUUUUGUUUGGGUUUUAGACAUGCAUUUGCCAUUAAAUCUAAAGGUCUUUGUGGAGGCCUAGUGUUUUUUUAA